AUACGUAGAGGGCAAGCGUUGUCCGGAAUCACUGGGCGUAAAGGGUACGCAGGCGGAAAUACAAGUCAAGUGUGAAAUCUACCGGCUCAACCGGUAAGCUGCAUUUGAAACUGUAUAUCUUGAGUAUAGGAGAGGAGAGCGGAAUUCCUGGUGUAGCGGUGGAAUGCGUAGAUAUCAGGAAGAACACCAGUGGCGAAGGCGGCUCUCUGGCCUAAAACUGACGCUCAUGUACGAAAGCUGGGGGAGCAAACGGGAUUAGAUACCCCGGUAGUCCCAGCUGUAAACGAUGGACACUAGGUGUUGGAGGUUCGAAUCCUUCAGUGCCGCAGUUAACGCAAUAAGUGUCCCGCCUGGGGACUACGGUCGCAAGACUGAA
rnacentral:rRNA from 1 species